GGAACCCCUACAGAAAGAACUCAACAAAGUUAGCGGUGUUAGGAAAUAAACAUAACUUAAUUAAACCGGUGAAGGCUCGUGUCGGAGUUUGGGGUCCAAAGUCUAAGUUGGGUCAUGCCCGAAGUCAGGCAAACUAACCAAAGUGGGGUGCGGACACUUGUUCGUGGGAGGCAUUUGAAGCGUAAUGAUAUAGCAUUGCUGCAUCACUUGGAUGAUUAUAUGCAUGCCUCAAUUAAAGCAAAUUUUGUCCAACACUUUCGUCCAAAAUUAAUUGAGGGGAAAAUCUACACAAACAGAUAUUUUUCGGUCCAACCUAAUAAGGAACAAUAUCGUAUUGUCGGCGACAACUAAAUAAUGAUACAAUUUUUUCAAAAUGCCGUUGGAAAUAUAGAUAAUACCAAUGCAUCGAUUUGAUUGUGUACAGUUACAACACUUGGAUCAGUUUGUUAAAAACUAUUCACUCCCUGAUAUGUAUAAUUCUGUUAUUUAUUCUGUAGUAAAGUUUAUUUGAGUUAUUGCGUAACAAUUUUUCUAAAUACUUUGUCUUUUUUUUCCUUGGUUGUUUUUUCUCUUUUUAGAUGUCGUUGGUAUGGUUGUGAAUGAAGUUGAAGAUUCUAUCGAAAUAGAAGACCAGUGGAAAAAUUAAUCUAACCACUUCACCGUCAACCAAGAUAUAUAUAAAUCUUGAUGUUCCGGAGGUUCGUAAAUUGAAAGACAUAUGGAGGUAUAGUUCAUAUAUAUGGUACACUAAAUAAGCUAAUUAAUUAUUCUUGCAAUUGACGUGGGUUUGAUUGACUUUGUUUCCAUUUUUGUGGGUGUUCGCAUUUCCCAUCUUAGAGCCGAGCUAGCGAAAGUGUUUCAUUGUAAUGUGGCGGAAUUAGACCUAGAGGAAAAGAUAAAUACAAAACCGUUACUAAAAAGAAAAAAUAAAACGAAACCCGUGCAUCGCACGGGCUUCAAAACUAGUUUUUAAAUACGAGUAACACAUUUUGAAUGGAGCAUCAAUGCAUCAUUUACCAAUAUGGGA